UACGGAGGGUGCAAGCGUUAUCCGGAUUCACUGGGUUUAAAGGGUGCGUAGGCGGGUAUGUAAGUCAGUGGUGAAAUACCGGAGCUUAACUUCGGAACUGCCAUUGAUACUAUAUAUCUUGAAUAUUGUGGAGGUAAGCGGAAUAUGUCAUGUAGCGGUGAAAUGCUUAGAGAUGACAUAGAACACCGAUUGCGAAGGCAGCUUGCGACGCAAAUAUUGACGCUGAGGCACGAAAGCGUGGGGAUCAAACAGG
rnacentral:rRNA from 1 species